GGAACCUGCUGGCCCUUCCAGGACAAAAAAUGCGACAAGGGUAGCGCAUGCACCUUCAGACAUGUCUGCAGGUACUGCUCUGGUCCACACCCUGGCAGUGACUGCAUCAAGCGAAGGGACCAGACCAAUAAGCCCCCUUCAGCAAACUUGGGCCAGAAAGGCGGAAACGCCAAUUAAUGUACAUGCCAUGGCACCAUGGUUGUGGGCUUACCCAGACCAGGCGGCGGCACGUAUGUUAUGGGAGGGUUUUUCAUUUGGUUUUCAUAUCCCCACAUUUAGGCAAAUCAAGGGUAAGAGAUUUAAUAGGAACCUUAUUUCAGCAUACCAACACCCCCAAGUAGUGAGGGAUAAAAUUAAUAAAGAAGUGACUUUAGGGCGAAUGGCGGGCCCCUUUGCUGCCCCACCUUUACCUGAUUUGGUCAUUUCCCCGUUGGGGGUGGUUCCCAAGAAAGAGCCAGGGAAGUUUCGCCUCAUUCAGCACCUGUCGUACCCAAAAGGUAGCUCAGUCAAUGAUGCCAUUGACCCCCAACUCAGCUCGGUGCGCUAUCAAUCCUUUGAUAGCGCACUAGACCUGGUCAGGAGGGCGGGUCAUGGUGCUCUAUUGGCGAAACUAGACAUUGAGUCGGCAUUUAGGCUUCUUCCACUCCACCCCUCAGUUUUCCAUCUAAUGGGUUGUAAGUUUGCAGGUGUGUACUACGUGGAUCGCUGCCUGCCCAUGGGCUGCUCUUUGUCAUGCGCCUUGUUUGAAGCGUUCAGUAGUUUCCUUCAUUGGGUCGUAGCUUCAGAAGUGGGCAGCGAUCCCAUAGCACACUACCUGGACGAUUUUCUCAUUGUAGGGAGAGCAGGCUCCGAUGAUUGUUUAUCCACAAUGAACAUCAUGCGCAGCGUCAUGAGACAUUUCGGGGUGCCCCUAGCAGAGGACAAAACGCAAGGCCCCGCGUCCUGUUUAGUUUUCCUGGGAAUCGAAAUCGACACCCAGGCUCGGCUCUGUAGGUUGCCACCUGAUAAAGUUCAGGGCAUGCUUGAGGCGGUCAGAGCGGCAGUCUCUAAUGCAGUUAUUUCCCUGAAACAGUUACAAUCCCUGUUAGGUUUGCUUAAUUUCGCUUGCAGAGUUAUCCCCAUGGGUCGGGUUUUUAACCGUAGACUGGAAAGACAGCUUAGUGGUAGGUCAAACCCGAAAUCAAAGAUAACCCUAGGGAGUGAAUUGCUGGCUGACCUGGUAGUCUGGGAACAGUUUCUCACGCGAUUUAACGGGAUUCGGGUCUGGCGUACCCCUCCCAUGUCUAGCCAGUUACUGCACCUUUUCACUGACGCAGCUGGAUCGCACGGUUACGGGGCCUAUUUCCAGGGAGAGUGGAGCGCGGAGCCCUGGCCGGAGUCCUGGGCCCCGGCGGGCCUUACUCGAAACCUGACUCUCCUGGAGCUAUUCCCCGUGGUCUUGGCGGUCGAGCUGUGGGGUGGGAAGUUGUCGAACGGGACUGUUGUGUUCUGGACAGACAACAUCAGUGUGGUCUUUGCGAUCAAUAACUUGUCAGCCACCUCAGCAAAGGUCAUUACCUUGCUGCGCCACCUGGUGUUGCGCUGUCUGGACCUUAACAUCCAGUUCCAGGCCCGUCAUGUCCCGGGCGUCGACAAUGUUGUAGCUGACGCCCUGUCACGAUUCGAAUGGGCGACAUUUCGCAAGUUAGCCCCCACAGCUGCAGCCGUGGGCUUACGCUGUCCUGAUUUCCUUUGGCAGCUCGUCCUUCCUGGAUAGCCUUACUGCCGUUGGUCCGCUCCUCCUUAGCACCAUCCACUUGGCACGCCUAUGCCCGCAUGUGGUCUGAAUGGGACAAUUUCUGUGCGUCCAGGGGAGCCGACGCUGCUCAGGGGUCUAGGGACAACUUACAUGAUUGGCUGGCACUACCCCCGGGGUGAAGCGAAUCUGGAUUGUGGGCCACUCCUUUGUCCACUGGGCCUCCCUACGCUGUGCGUCCCUCCCAUUUGGCCAAUCCCUAGGUCUCCCUACCAACAAGGCAUCCGUUAGGUGGUUGGGUGAUAGGGGGAUGUGCUGGCCCCAAUUAGCAGGAACCAUAUCUGAGGCCCUGGUACGCUGGGGGAAGCCUCACAUUAUUAUUCUUCACCUAGGGGGUAACGAUGUGGGGGCCAUACCAGUUUUACAGUUGAUUAAGGUUAUGCAGGCAGACAUUGGGUGGCUAAGAGUACGCAUCCCGGGGGUCAUGAUAGGGUGGUCCCAUAUAAUACCCCGUCUCCACUGGAGGCAUAUGUCGGCCCAUACGGCGGCAUACCGGGUUAGGAAGAAGAUCAAUGCGUCUGUAGCGAAAACCGUCACUGGGUCAGGUGGCUUCGUGGUACGGCACGAAGCCAUUUCGGCUGAUAGAACCGAGCUAUAUAGAAGGGAUAAAGUUCACCUUUCUGAUGUGGGGCUGGAUUUAUUCAUAGGGGACAUUCAGAGAGCUCUGUUACCCCUCCUGUAAAUCGGGUUGUGGGUUGGCGGCAAGGGUACCAUUAAAAUGCUUCCUUGUGGCGGGAGAUCCUCGGUCCGGUUGCGCAGGAGAAGGUCGCUAGGGGUGAGUGAUGGCCAGACUUCCGGGGAGGAGGGUAGGCCCUCACGUGCACGUGACGGUAACCCUCCUUCCUCCCUUUUGAGGGAUGGUCACGUGAUCUCUGCAACCCCUCAGCGUCAUCUCCUUAGGGCAGAGACCCCUCUGCUGCUGUUCCCGUUGGGCCGGUGAUCUCCUGCUGUUCUGGGUAGCUGAUCUCUAUGCCGCCAUAUAUAUUUUCAGUUCUAUCAGUUCUAUCUAGUUUGUUAGGUUAAUAAAAUUUUAUGGCCUGUGACGGUCACAAAAUUUUUCCCAUAAAAA